AAGUGACCCUAUAAAGGAGAAAGGACAUGAAGGGGUAAAAAUAAAAGUCUCAGAAUAAUUUUUAGAUAUUUUAUAAAUUACCAGAGCGGAGAAAUAGUGAACAAAAGUACGGUCAGAAUUGUAUGAUUUUGCACCGAACUGUGAUUAUAAAAUCCAGUUAUUAGAAAAUAAGUGAAAAUAGAAUAGACACAAAAUGAGCCAAGAAUUUUCCUAGAGUAUCUAAAUAAAUUGUGGAACUCAUUUAUGAAUUUUCGGAAAUUUUACGAAGCUCAAGGAAGUUAAAAUAAAAAGGAAUAAAGGAGCCAGAUACCCAAGAUUUCCGGACUGCAAAAUGACCUUUAAACUAAACCAGCGGAAUUUCAGAAGGGAUACUGAAGAGAAGGUUAGUACGUUUAUGAUAUUUGGAGUCUCUAGAACAUUCCUAUAUUGAGUUUGAAGAAAAAUCUCGAGAUUAAGAGUGGACAGGGAUCAGUGGAAAAAUAUCAGACCGAUACAUCCCUAAGAAAAAGUGAAAUAUUUUCGGACUCCAAAUGAGCUCAUUUUACAGUCAAAAAUUCCCAAAUAAUAUACUAGGAAUUAUUAUAUCGUCGGAAUUCGUCAACGAGAUCAAGAAUAGUGAGAUUUAAUUUAAGAUUUCAAGAAUUUAAGGACAUGGAAUAGAUAAUUAUCCAAAAAGCAUAUUCAAAGGAAUAUUCUUGCAGGGUGGCACACUCUGAUUGGUUGAUCAAGUUAAUAGGAAAUCAAAAUGAAAGCAAAGUAUACAGACUUCAGUUUCAUCUGCUGCCGAAGUGAAGGAAGAAAGAAAAUAAGAAAAAAAUCAAGAAAAAUUCAUAGAAAAAGAUUUCUAGCUCGGUUUUUCGUGUUCUAUAGCUUGUUGGAAAGAUCUCUUCAAGACCUUUAAUUCAAGAGGUGCACAGAAAGGUGCAGAAGAACUUUAAGGACCAGGAAGUUGUAACUGAGUUGCUGAAGUAAGGAUAUGAAUAGUUAGUAGAGUGUUUUUGUAUGAGUGCUCAGUGGAGAUUGUAGAUAGUGCCUAAGAGACGGUGGUCCAGCAGGAUGCUCCAGACUCCUCCAUCAGCCGAUGCAUAUAUAUGUAGUUUGAGAGAUUGUGUUUAUGUACUCUAGACUUAUCAAGUGUGCCAGAAAUCACGAAGAUAAAUUUAUGUUUAAAUUCUGAAUAUGUGUAGUGAAUAUGGAUGAUGGAACUGUAUUGAAAUUUUAUGUUGCUUGGUAAA